AGAGUUUGAUCCUGGCUCAGGACGAACGCUGGCGGCAGGCCUAACACAUGCAAGUCGAACGAGAAGCCAUCCUUCGGGAUGGUGGGCAGUGGCGAACGGGUGAGUAACGCGUGGGAACCUGCCCUUCGGUACGGGACAACCGCGGGAAACUGCGGCUAAUACCGUAUAUUCCCCAUGGGGGAAAGAUUUAUCGCCGAGGGAUGGGCCCGCGUCCGAUUAGCUAGUUGGUGAGGUAAAAGCUCACCAAGGCGACGAUCGGUAGCUGGUCUGAGAGGAUGAUCAGCCACACUGGGACUGAGAUACGGCCCAGACUCCUACGGGGGGCAGCAGUGGGGAAUAUUGGACAAUGGGGGCAACCCUGAUCCAGCCAUGCCGCGUGAGUGAAGAAGGCCCUAGGGUUGUAAAGCUCUUUCAGCGAGGAAGAUAAUGACGGUACUCGCAAAAGAAGCCCCGGCUAACUCCGUGCCAGCAGCCGCGGUAAUACGGAGGGGGCUAGCGUUGUUCGGAAUUACUGGGCGUAAAGCGCGCGUAGGCGGUCUGCUAAGUUGGGCGUGAAAGCCCGGGGCUCAACCCCGGAACUGCGUUCAAUACUGGUAGACUAGAGGCCGGGAGAGGAGAGCGGAAUUCCCAGUGUAGAGGUGAAAUUCGUAGAUAUUGGGAAGAACACCAGUGGCGAAUGCGGCUCUCUGGCCCGGUUCUGACGCUGAGGCGCGAAAGCGUGGGGAGCGAACAGGAUUAGAUACCCUGCUAGUCCACGCCGUAAACGAUGAGUGCUAGACGUCGGGGAGGCUUGCCUUUCGGUGUCGCAGCUAACGCAUU
rnacentral:rRNA from 1 species